rnacentral:lncRNA from 13 species
AUGACGUCAUGGGAAAAAUACACCCUCCACUUUGCUGACCAUGAGAAAAGCACACACCGUGCUGCUACCCCUGGGGAGGGUAGUCCUGGCACAGAAGAGCACAGAUGGCUUCUGACAAGAGGUUGCUGGGAAGGCUCCUGUUGUCUGCCCUGCAGGAUUGCCUUGGAUCGCCCGUUGAUGGCUCAAAAUCCAGCUACCCGCAGAAGAUUGAGUUGUGAUGCCGGGGAUUCUCACAGUGACCACCAGAGCCUCUCCAUCCCACUGCCUUGAUCUAUGCUAAGGCAACUGCAGAAUCACCACCUGUCAUUUUCCUCCUUCAGGGCAAGCAUCGAUGCACUUGCUCCAGAAUCAAUGAUGAGUACAAACUUUUCCAACAUUUCUCUCUUAGAGUACCACUGCAUUUUCAUCGCAUAAAAGACAAUCUUUGAUGGCUGCCUGGUGCUCAUGACAGAUAAAAAUAAGCAAAAUAGCAAGCCCAGGUGAACCUAGGGUGCAUUCAUUUAUUUUUUUUUAAUGCUUUUAUUUUUUCUGAGUUAUUAGUUUAUUAUAAAAGAGAG